AAAGGUUUUGUUGAAUGAAAUGCCAUUUUUUUUUGUUUUUUCCCUUAGGGAACAAUAAGAAAAUUUCUCUUUUUGAGCCAAUCUCCUUCUGAAACGAGCUCCAGGAGUGGUCACAACCUGCCAUAAAAAUGCCAUGUGCAAGAGGAUAUAUUUCAUAUCGGGCAAGCAGGCUGGGACGAUACGAUCUGUUUGGGGUUUGAAGGUCAUUUUAAAAUUUGUAUCUUUGCCUUUUUGUCUCAAAUCCCUCCUGAGAUGUGGGAAAUAGAGAAAAGUACAAGACUGGAGUUGACUGAAG
rnacentral:lncRNA from 1 species